rnacentral:rRNA from 1 species
UGGUAAUUCUAGAGCUAAUACAUGCUAAAAACCUCAUCUCGAGGUGUAUUUAUUAGAUUAAAAACCAAUGCCCUUCGGGGCUCAAUGGUGAAUCAUAAUAACUUAACGAAUCGCAUGGCCUUGUGCCGGCGAUGGUUCAUUCAAAUUUCUGCCCUAUCAACUUUUGAUUGCUCUGUAUUGGACAGCAAUGGUUUCGACGGGUAACGGAGGAUUAGGGUUCGGUCCCGGAGAGGGAGCCUGAGAAACGGCUACCACAUCCAAGGAAGGCAGCAGGCGCGCAAAUUACCCAAUUCCGACACGGAGAGGUAGUGNCAAGAAAUAUUGAUACAGGGCUCUUUUGGGUCUUGUAAUCGAAAUGAGAACGAGGUAAAUAUCCUAUCGAUUAACAAUUGGAGGGCAAGUCUGGUGCCAGCAGCCGCGGUAAUUCCAGCUCCAAUAGCGUAUAUUAAAGUUGUUGCAGUUAAAAAGCUCGUAGUUGAACCUUGGGCCUGGCCGGCCGGUCCGCCUC